rnacentral:rRNA from 1 species
GACGAACGCUGGCGGCGUGCUUAACACAUGCAAGUCGAGCGAUGAAGCACCUUCGGGUGUGAAUUAGCGGCGAACGGGUGAGGAACACGUGAAGAAUCUGCCUUCAACUCUGGGAUAACUCCGGGAAACCGGGGCUAAUACCGGAUAUGAGCCUUGAUCGCAUGAUCGGGGCUGGAAAGUUUUUCGGUUGAAGAUGACUUCGCGGCCUAUCAGCUUGUUGGUGAGGUAAUGGCUCACCAAGGCGACGACGGGUAGCCGGCCUGAGAGGGCGACCGGCCACACGGGGACUGAGACACGGCCCAUACUCCUACGGGAGGCAGCAGUGGGGAAUAUUGGGCAAUGGAGGAAACUCUGACCCAGCGACGCCGCGUGAGGGAUGAAGGCCUUCGGGUUGUAAACCUCUUUCAGUAGGGAAGAAGCGAAAGUGACGGUACCUACAGAAGAAGCACCGGCUAACUAUGUGCCAGCAGCCGCGGUAA